rnacentral:tRNA from 1 species
ACUAUUUUGGCAGAUAAGUGCGGUGGAUUUAGAAUCUAUUUAUGUGAAUUAUAUAGCACAUGUAGUA